AGUCUUCUGUAUCCAUACUGAGAUUUCGUCACACACUAGACCACAAGGGCUGAUGAAACUGAAGGUUCUGGGUUCG
rnacentral:pre_miRNA from 1 species